UAGGGAAUCUUCCACAAUGGACGCAAGUCUGAUGGAGCAACGCCGCGUGAGUGAAGAAGGCUUUCGGGUCGUAAAACUCUGUUAUUGAAGAAGAACGUGUGUGACAGUAACUGGUCAUGCAGUGACGGUAUUCAAUCAGAAAGUCACGGCUAACUACGUGCCAGCAGCCGCGGUAAUACGUAGGUGGCAAGCGUUGUCCGGAUUUAUUGGGCGUAAAGCGAGUGCAGGCGGUCUUUUAAGUCUGAUGUGAAAGCCUUCGGCUUAACCGAAGAAGGGCA
rnacentral:rRNA from 1 species